rnacentral:rRNA from 1 species
UUCUGAUUUGCUUAUUGCACCACAUGUGUUUUUCUUUGAAACAAACUUGCUUUGGCGGUGGGCCCAGCCUGCCGCCAGAGGUCUAAACUUACAACCAAUUUUUUAUCAACUUGUCACACCAGAUUAUUACUAAUAGUCAAAACUUUCAACAACGGAUCUCUUGGUUCUCGCAUCGAUGAAGAACGCAGCGAAAUGCGAUACGUAAUAUGAAUUGCAGAUAUUCGUGAAUCAUCGAAUCUUUGAACGCACAUUGCGCCCUCUGGUAUUCCGGAGGGCAUGCCUGUUUGAGCGUCGUUUCUCCCUCAAACCGCUGGGUUUGGUGUUGAGCAAUACGACUUGGGUUUGCUUGAAAGACGGUAGUGGUAAGGCGGGAUCGCUUUGACAAUGGCUUAGGUCUAACCAAAAACAUUGCUUGCGGCGGUAACGUCCACCACGUAUAUCUUCAAACUUUGACCUCAAAUCAGGUAGGACUACCCGCUGAACUUAAGCAUAUCAAAAGCGGAGGAA